CUGACCUCUGUGGUUUCCUAUUGUGGGGCCUCAGCAGUCUCAAAAGGCUGCAGAGCGUGUAGGUGGAAGGAAAAGGUGCUGCACUUGCUGCCCCCCAGGCAGUCAUUGAGGCCCAGCGUUGUUGCCUCAUUUCAGAAAAGUUGCCUCAUUAAUAAUCAGGAUUAAGAUUUGCCGUUAUGCCUUUGUAGUUCCUUCUCUGUCCCCUCCAAUGCUCAUAUUCUCUAUGAAACCUGUUAUAUGUAGCAGGGUUGCAAUUUUGUUACAUAUUAUUUCUUGGGUGGGCAAAGAAAUUUACUUUUGUCUAUUACUCCUCUAGUUUCUUAUUCAGUAUUUGGACAGAAAGAAUUUAAAUGUCCAAUUGGUUUUAAAGUUUAGCUCAAUCUAAACUGGUGUUUAAUUUCUUAGGUUCAAAUGCUUAGGUUCUUAGAUAACGUCUCUGAUCCUCCUUGAGAUGGUGCUCUGGGUAUAUAUAUGGGUGCUGGAGAAGUGGCAGCCAUAUGCCGUCUCUGGGGCCGCUCUCUUAGUCAGUUGGUGUUUCUUGCCUUGAUGGUGCUCUUGGUUAGAUACAACCUGUGGUUCAUUGGUGGCUCUCAGGCUGCACCAAGCUACUGCUGUGACUCCCUUCAGCCCUGGUUGGAGUAUUUUCUACACAGCCUUCCCUCAAACAUUUUGGUCUCGGGACUCCACUAUACUCUUAAAUAUUAGUGAUCUCUAAGAGCUUUCCUUUUGUGGGUUCUAUCUAUCAUCAAUAUUAGAGAUAUAGUACAAAUUAGAAAUUGAACUGAGAAUCUUAGAAAUUAUUCUUUUAAAAACAAUAAAUAAACUCAUAUGAUAACAUAAAUUGUGCAUUUCUCACAAAAAAAAUGACUUCUAAAAAAUUUAACAAGAAAGUGGCAUUGUUUUACACAAGUGCAGAUGUCUUAAAUUCCUGGUCUCAUAGAGCACAGGGUUUUCUUUUUGCUUCUCUAGUCAUUUGUUGCAAUAUGUUGCUUUAGUUGAAAUAUAUAAGGAAAAUUCCUUCUCAUAUGAUAUAGUUGGAAAAAGGAACAUUUAAAUAGUAUUUUCAGAUAAUUGUGCAUGUUCUUCAUUUGAUUGCACAGAAACUUGAAAAGUGGUAGUUUAUUAAAGCUAGUUGCAAUGUGGAAUCUGAAGCUCUAGCAAUGAGAUUUUCAUACUGUGUUUCAUUAAAACCUAUUUCUCUGUCUUUGUGUUUUAAGCCAUGAGGUCUGGCUAGGUUGCCUGGGCUCAUAAGAUCCUCCUGCAUCAGCCUCCCUAGUAGUUGGGACUAUAGGUGUGUACCACCAUUCCUGGCUUGGCUUAUACUGGAUUUUUACCUGUUCCUGAUUUUGUGACAUCAUGGAAAAUGGUGAAGAGUAAAUCAGAUUUGAUAAAAUAAUGGUUUACUUAGUUAUAUCAGUUUUCCAAAUGUUAGCAUAUGUCAUGCUAUAAUAUUUUUUAAAAACCACUUUCAUUAGUAUCACCACUAAUCACAGAACAAUAUUGGGGAACUGUUAUGGUCACACUAGCCAAUACAUAGCCAAUACAAGUUUUUUUGUAUUAGUUGAUGUUUUCCAGAACCAAUACAAUGUGUGUGUGUGUGUGUGUGUGUGUGUGUGUGAAUAAAUAAAAAAGAUUUAUUAAUCCCCAAAUCAGAAAUUUGAAAUGCUUCAAAAUCCAGUAAAGCCUAUGCAAAUAUUUCAAAAUACAAAAAAAAAAAAAAGAAGAAGAAGAAGAAAAAAGAAAAGAAAAAAAAAAGGGACAUUCUUCUGGUCCUAAGGGGUUGACCAUAGACUGCAGUGGGUUGAGGGUUGUCCCUGGUCCAGUGGUCUUGAAUCCCUGGGGAUCCCAAGGCAUUUUCAGGAAGUCCACCAGUACAACUUUUUUCAUAAGAAGUGUUCACCAGUGAGACAUUUCCAGCCUUUGCACAUCACUCACGUGUGUAUGUGGCUCUCCAAGGGUGAUGGAUGUCCAGUAGCAUUACAGCACCGCCCGUCUCAGUCUCAGUGCAGAGCAGACUUGGUGAUCCGCGUCUUCUACUAAGCCCAAUGUUGUGGAGAUUUGCAAAACUGUAAAAUGGUGCGGCUCUGCUCACUGCUCUAUUUGCUUUGGAAAAUAUAGUUGCUUUUUAUAAACUAUAUAUUUUUAUGUUUACAUAAAAUUGUUUUAGGAUGAAUUAAUAAGUACUUAAGGAUUUUUCAGUUUUUACUUCUAACAUGGUAAAUAUCGAUAAAUAUAACCCACAUAAACAAAAAUUCCUUGGGGGUUCUCAAUUUUUAAGACUGUUUAAAGCCCUGAGAUCAAACAAUUUGAGAACCACUUGUCCUGAUCUUGUUGGUUCUGGGCUGAUACGGAGAUUGAGCUCUAUUGAAGGGUAUACCAAAAGGAGCUUUGAGUCUUUUUGUCUGAAGAAAAGUAUUGGGAAUUGCAAACCUUACUUUUAAUAAUUACCAAAUACAGCCAGGUGUGGUGGAGCAUGCCUGUAAUCUCAGCGACUUGGGAGAUUGAGACAGGAGGAUCACAAGUUUGAGGCCAGCCUCAGCAAUUUAGUGAGACCUCAUCUUGCCCUGGGUUCGGUCUCCAGUACCAUCUGGGAGGGAGGAAAUUACUGAACAUAAAUACUUAUCAAGAAUUGUCCUACGUCUAGAAGUGACAGAAAAGAGAUAUGAGGCUUCAUUCCUGUCUCCAGCAAUCUAAGUGGGUUGUCUUUACAUACUUGAAACAACUUAAAAAUAGUAUAAGACCAUAUUUGAUAAGUUGCGUGGUAUAGACUCUAUAUAACAGCCUUUGGAGUGCAGAGGAGAGAGGCCAGGGUGUUUUAAGAGAGCAACCCAGGGAAGAAGGUGGUUUUAUGGUUGGCCUAGAUUGGAUUUGGUUAGUUGGAAUGGAAGAGAUCAAAAGCUCUUCUAGGCCCAGUAGCAGGAGUGCCUCUGAGGUUCAAAUAGAGUUUCUGGUGUCUUUAUGGUCUCAUGUCUGGGCCCUGGCUGGGCCAGCAAGGAAAGGCAUUCCAGACACUUCCUGCCUGUCUUGUCAAAGGUUUGAAAAUAGAGAUCUGCUGCAGAAAUGUUUUGGACGGUCACAGCUGCUAUUAAUAGUGUGACCAGAUCAUUUAAUGUGUGGUAGUUAUGGACAUGUUGGAGAGUGGAGGUGGAUGCCAUUAAAAAUUACCAGUAUGUGGUACCGUCCUGGCUAUGUUGUGACAUUUGUCACUCAAGCUAUUAUCCUUAAGCACUGCUGUUAGUUUCCUUCCUAUUGGUUUCUUAGGAUAUUCAAGACUAAUUUUUUUCACACUGUGGAUUGCAAACAUUUACUAGAUUAAGAAAUCAAUUUAGUAGGUGAUACCCAGCCUUAAAAAAAAAUAAAACCAACAUUUCACAUGUAGUAAAGAGAAAUAUUAUUUUGUUUAAAAUAUGUAUGUAAAUAUACUAAUUCAUGCAAUGUACCCAGGGCAAAACAGUAAUAGCUGAUGAACAAUAAGUUAUUUGGAGCUGGGUGCAGUAGUGUACACGUGUAAUCCCAGUGACUCAGGAGGCUGAGGAAGGAGGAUCACAAGUUUGAAGCCAGUCUGAGCAAUUUAGCAAGAUCCUGAAUCAAAAUAAAAAUAGAAAGGGCUAGAGAUGUACCUCAGUGGUAGAGCACCCAUGAACUCAAUUCCCAGUACUAAGGAAAAAAUAAAGCAAACCCCCCAAAGUGACUCCAUUAAUAGAAGUUACAUAUUUGCAUGCAUGAUUAAAACAAAUAAUAUAUACUAUAUAUCUAAUAGAAAUAAUAUAAGCAAUGUAAAAAUAACAUAUUUGUAUUUGGACAGGAUAUUCACCUCAUGGUCUAAAUUAGUUGUGCAGGCUUCAGCCAUCAUGCCUAUAAUCCAGUGAGAAGGGAUCAUGCUCUCCUAGAAGUUACAUCCUGCAUAUCUGCUUCCAUAUUAUUGUCUACCACUUGCACCUAUGACCACACCAUGUUGUAAGAGAGACUGGGAGAUAGUUCUAUUCCACAACAAAGGCUGGUUUUAAAAAAGCCUGGUUACAAGAAAAGUAGGUGAAAUUCUAAUAGGUAUGGAAAAUGAAAAAUCCCCAAAAUAAUGUGGUCUGAGAAAAAGGGAGUAAAAUAGAAAGCCAUGCACUGACAGCUUUCAUCUCCCAAGACAGAUGCUUUCCUGUGCUAAUUGUAGGCAGGAAGGAGGUGUCUCAUAGUAAAGUGAUGGCCUCUGAGGGCACUGACCUUCCUUGGAGUAAAUCCUCCCAGAUUCGGAGCACAGACUCUGACCCAAGAGCUCAAAUUCCUAAGCACUCAAACUGACCCCUUCACUGAUAGAUGAACAAACCCCAGACCCUGGGUGCCCACCAGACCACCCCUCAGGAUAACCUGAGCUGAUUGUGAGGUUUGCGUUCGUUACAGUCUCACGAAUUCUAUCCCUGAACAAGGGGGGAUUACACCCUGGGAGGACAACCGGGAGUCUGAGUCUGAGUCCCAUUCCAGGCGCUGCCCUUCACGGGGGUGGGGGGGCGGGAGGGCUGGAAAUGAACAGGAACCAGGGCGCUCUGGAGGGUCAGAACACAGGAGCCAAUCAAAUAUGGUCUUAUCCUAUUGAUAAGUUGGUUCUAAUGAUCAGUUACAUAUCUCACUUCUCCCCAAGAGAGGCCCUUGUUUAGGCCAGUAGGCCUCUUCAGACUUCUCUGUCAAUCUUUUCCCAAGGAACUCAGCUCACUUUGAUCUUUGACCUCUGCUAUAUCACACAUUAGCAUUUUAGUAUACACUUAAUGAAUUUACUCAUUAUAGAUGCACAAUAAGCUUUAUUGGUUGGAUAGCCAAAAUAUCCAAUUUUAUAAUUGUUUUCAAGUGAUUAAGUAUUUUCACCCCAUUUUCUAAUUGAUUAAAUAAGUGAAUAAAUAAAUACUGAUGGGUUUGGAAUCUCUAUUCCUUAUCAUUACCAUUUUUUUGUUUAGGUAUUUUUGGAGUUAAUGGAGCCAGAAGGACACUUAGAGCCAGAGAGUUCAGAAAAAUCUGUCUUCUCACAGCCAGAAGAAGAUGAAGAAUCCCAACAAUCAAAGGCAGCGAGCCUUGAGAACCCUCUCCUGCGGCCUCUUCUCACAGGGGACAUAGAAGGCUUGCGUAGGAUUUUCGAGGACCCUGAAGAUCCUCAUCAUGACCAUGCCAUGGAGCUACUCUUGGAAGAAGACAUCGUUGGGAGAAAUCUGUUGUACGCAGCUUGCAUGGCUGGGCAAAAUGACGUCAUUAGAGCCUUGGCAAAGUAUGGUGUGA
rnacentral:lncRNA from 1 species